rnacentral:lncRNA from 1 species
GAGAUAAAUGCAUUAAACAGGAUGGUUAUAUUCAAUUGAAAAUUGAUAUUUUGCUUUGAUUACAUUUACAAACAUAUACAUGUCUUAAAUAUGAGCAAAAUGAGAUCACAUGUAAUAGCAGUUAUAAGUAAUACAUUUAUUUCAUAGUACUGAGUUGUCGAAUAAAUGUUUAUAAAUUAUCCGUAAAAUUACAAUCAAAACAAACAUUAAAUAUUACUGAUCAAAACGAUGAACUAAUGGAAAAAAGAUUGUAUAAGAAAACGGGGAAAAGAAUUGUACUGUCGAUAUAACAAUACAGGUAUAGUUUUGUAUAAGUAUUGAGAUAAGAUGACUGACCAAGGCCAAUUACUAGAAUUGUAAAUAGAUUAAAGAAUUGAUGUGUAUAAGCGAUAGGAGAAUUAUGUUAAGAUUCUUGAAAAUAUUGAUGAUGAAACAGCAAAUAUUAUUUGGAACAUAGCGAUGCCGCUUCAAUUAUAAUAUAAAAUAUUUUACCUUCUGUGCUGUAGUAUCCGCCAUUAUACACUCCAUGAAAAAAAAAAGUUUAUAAAAUAUAACCACACUAUCCCUUUGUUGUAACGUACAACUUCAAACAGGAAGUUGCGAGUUAUUUUUUCUUCGUCAAAAUCGAGACACCAUAGAGCUGAUUGAGAGAAUUAUAAUCAUAGCAUGUGCUAAGGUGCACGAUGAUACACAAAAUGUCAAUCUUUAUUCUUUUACUUUUUACAUGUUUUAUUUCGUAUUCUGUAGAAGUUGUUUCUACUAUAAUCUAUACAAUUUGAAUUCGCUUCUUUGAUAGAAAUGAAAAUUUAGGAAAACAUUAUGUGAUAAAUUAUAAUUGUAUUCGUUAUAAUUGAUAUGAGUAGAAUACUAAUAAUACAAAAUGAUAUUUUGAUUUCAAUUAACUCAAUAAAUUAAGUCAGAAAUUAAGUCAAUAUAAUAAUCUAUGAAAAUGUCAAAUAAAUAGGUAUCAGAAGUAGGUGGGAGAUAAAAGGAUAAUAUUUCAUUAAAUUGAAUGUCAUGGAUAUAUUUAAAAAAAACUGUAAUUUUUAAAAAAUAAACAGCAUACAGUUUUGCGAAUAUUGGACAUAUUUUUUAAUCAGAUUAGAACAAUAUUUUGAAUCAGAUAAGUAAAACGGUAAAAUGUAUCGUUUCAUUGUAUUACCAUUGUAUUUCGUAUUUUGUACAUCAAUAUCCAUCUUUUGAAAUCAGCAAAUUAAAUCUGCUAUACAUGAUUGUAUAACACAUGUUUGUAUAAACACUGUGUAGAAAUAUAUAUUAAAUACGG